GCGUGGGUAACCUGCCUGUAAGACUGGGAUAACUCCGGGAAACCGGGGCUAAUACCGGAUGUUUGUUUGAACCGCAUGGUUGAAACAUAAAAGGUGGUUCGGCUACCACUUACAGAUGGGCCCGCGGCGCAUUAGCUAGUUGGUGAGGUAACGGCUCACCAAGGCAACGAUGCGUAGCCGACCUGAGAGGGUGAUCGGCCACACUGGGACUGAGACACGGCCCAGACUCCUACGGGAGGCAGCAGUAGGGAAUCUUCCGCAAUGGACGAAAGUCUGACGGAGCAACGCCGCGUGAGUGAUGAAGGUUUUCGGAUCGUAAAGCUCUGUUGUUGGGGAAGAACAAGUGCCGUUCGAAUAGGGCGGCACCUUGACGGUACCUCACCAGAAAGCCACGGCUAACUACGUGCCAGCAGCCGCGGUAAU
rnacentral:rRNA from 1 species